rnacentral:tRNA from 1 species
GGGGAUUUAGCUCAGUGGUAGAGUGCUUGCCUAGCAAGCACAAGACCCUGGGUUCAGUCCCCAGCUCCG